rfam:Danio rerio chromosome 9, GRCz11 reference primary assembly.
CCUUGUCCUACUUGUAAGUUGCUUUGGAUAAAAGCGUCUGCUAAAUGACUAAAU